GAAUCCUAAUCUUCCGUUUGGAAGCUUGUAUUUGGAGGUUAUUAGAAUUCUUUGGUAUAUUCAUAGGACUUUCGAUUUGAUUAACUAAAUCAGCUUUCAUAUCCCAAAUUAGUAUAUAUGUGAUAUUUGAUAGAAUGAUUGUAUUAAGCCCAUUAAAAUAUAUACUUUGGCCAAAAAAGAGGAAAUUUUGAGCCUUGGGUAGGCCACAAAUGCAAUGAUCUCAAACUAGCAACAUUCAGAUGGUUCAGAUCAUUCUAUUGAUGCGAUUUUAGUAUUGCAGCCGAUAAUUGAAUUGUUUGGGUAUCAUCAGUAUGCCACGUGUCCAGUGGAUUAGUAUCCUAGUGACACCUUUGUUACAUGUGCAACUCUCCUACCCUUAAAAAAAGAGGGAAAAAAGGCAUUUCCUUUGGAUUACAUUGGAAUAUCGGCAUUUUGCUGGGAUUUCAAAAUACACUAAAAGGUAGAUUUGAAAUACCUCCGAUUCCAUUUACCUCCAAAUAUUCCAAAUGCAAAAAGUAGCAAUUUGGAUUUGGAAUAUGCCCAUUUACCGCCAAAUCCAAGGUGCCAAACGAGGUGUUAGGUUUUUUUUUUUUCAAUUAUAUGUUAGUUGGAUAUUCGAUUACCUGACUAUCCAACUUACAUCUGACAUCUUUGGACAAUAUCUGAAUCCAUAUCCGUAUCUGAUGUCCAAGUCGGAUACUGGAUAUGAGUACCGCAAUAUGUGACCCGUCUCUGAUCCAUUUAUGGCUCCGGUGAGUCUAUGUAUCUUUUUUUUUUUUCCCUGUUCAUGCUGAAUUUCCUGUGAUUGUAGAUCAAACUGUAUACGAUGUCCAAAUCGGAUACUGGAUACAGAUAUUGCAAUAUGUGAUCCGUAUCUGACCUGUUUACGGCUCUAGUGAUUCUCUCCAUGUAUAUCUUUCUUUUUUGCUGUUCAUGCUGUUGUUGCUGAAUUUCCUGAGGAGGAAUCCGGAAUCCAAAACUAUUGGAAAUGUUGAAAGGUCAACAGUCAAUAUAUGUUAUUUGUGUUUCAA